UACGGAGGAUGCGAGCGUUAUCCGGAUUUAUUGGGUUAAAAGGGUGCGUAGGCGGAUCGUUAAGUCAGUGGUCAAAUUGAGGGGCUCAACCCCUUCCCGCCAUUGAAACUGGCGAUCUUGAGUGGAAGAGAAGUAUGCGGAAUGCGUGGUGUAGCGGUGAAAUGCAUAGAUAUCACGCAGAACCCCGAUUGCGAAGGCAGCAUGCCGGCUUCCUACUGACGCUGAAGCACGAAAGCGUGGGGAUCGAACAGG
rnacentral:rRNA from 1 species